AGAUUGAACGCUGGCGGCAGGCCUAACACAUGCAAGUCGAGCGGUAGAGAGGUGCUUGCACCUCUUGAGAGCGGCGGACGGGUGAGUAAUGCCUAGGAAUCUGCCUAGUGGUGGGGGAUAACGUUCGGAAACGGACGCUAAUACCGCAUACGUCCUACGGGAGAAAGCGGGGGACCUUCGGGCCUCGCGCCAUUAGAUGAGCCUAGGUCGGAUUAGCUAGUUGGUGAGGUAAUGGCUCACCAAGGCGACGAUCCGUAACUGGUCUGAGAGGAUGAUCAGUCACACCGGAACUGAGACACGGUCCGGACUCCCGUACGGGAGGCAGCAGUGGGGGAAUAUUGGACAAUGGGGCGCAAGCCUGAUCCAGC
rnacentral:rRNA from 1 species